GUUUUUAAGGCUGCACCUGCAGCAUAUGGAAGUUCCCAGGCUAGGCAUCGAAUCAGAGCUACAGCUGCCAGCCUGCCACAGGUUCUGUACUAGCACCAGAGCCACAGCAAUGUGGGAUCCAAGCUGCAUCUGUGAGCUACACCACAGCUCAUGGCAACAUCAUAUACUUAACCCACCGAGAGAGGCCAGGAAUCAAACCCUCAUCCUUAAGGACAUUAAUCAGGUUCAUUACUGCUGAGCCACAAUGGGAACUCCAAAGGCAUUCCUCUUUCUGCUAGAGUAUAUUUGAUUUCUAGAAUUUCCUGUGGAUUCUUUCUUAGAGUUUCUAAGCCUUUGCUUAUAUUACCCAUUUGUUCUUGCAUGCUGUCCAGUUUUUCCAUUAGAGUCCUUAGCAUAUUAAUCAUUAUUAUUUUAAGUUCCUGUUCUGAUAAUUCCAAAAUCUAUGUCAUACAGAGUCUGAUUCUGUUGCUUGCUUUAUCUGUUUAUAUUGUCUUCUUUCUUCCUUUAAGCAUGCCUUGCCAUUUCUUGUUGAAAGUAAAGCAAUACACAUUGGCUAAUAGAAAUUGAGGUUAGUAAGUCUUUAUCAUGAGGAUUUAUUUUCAUCUGAUUAGGAGUUGUGUUUACUCUGCUAUAGCUAUAGGUGUCUAAGGCUUCAGUUUCUUCUGGUGUCCUUGUUUUUGUAUUCCCUAUUAUCUUUGGGUUUAUUUUAGCUAAAAUCCUCCUGUUACUAUGCAGGAUCCUCGUUCCUGACUCUGACAGCUUCUAUCUCCAGUUAUUCUUUGUAUUCCACUCUUUCAACAAUUUUGGAGGCAUCAUUUUGCCCUAUGAUCUCUAUUCCCUGAUGAAUCAAAGAAGUUUUGGUUUUGUGUCUUUAGCUUUUUGCUUGUUGUGAGGAUGGUAGAGAUGAGUUUUUUACAUGUCAGACCAUAACCUGGAACUUGUCCCAUUCUUUAUGAUUCCUCAGUGAUAAGAGAAAAAAAAAACUUUGCUCUAAGGUCAUGCCUGUAGUUUUUUUCUACAAUUUCAAGAUUUAAAAAUCUGACCUGAAAAUAUAAAUUCAUGCAAAUUGUUAUGUAUUCCCUAAGUCCAUGCCAUAGGCUGAAAUGUCAUUUUUAUGCCACUUGCUCUACUGUUUCCAGUUUGGCAGCUAGCCCAUGGGUUGGAGCUUGGGGAACAAAUGAUAGAAAAACAAGUCAUAGGAGAAGUAAUGUGGGGUAGUAAUGCAUUCUAGUGGGACCACUUACUCUGUGCCUGUCAGCCCUAGUGACCUACAGAGUUAGCCAUAAAUCCCAAGCCCCACCCCUUCUACCCAACUCCAAACUUUAAUAGCUAUGGCUUAAACAAUAUUUUAAAAACUGGAAACCCAGAUAGGGAGUCCCUUGGUAAUUUUGGAUGAGUUUUGGUACCUAAGACUGUGCUAUUGGCAGUCAUUCUAUUUCAUUAGUUAGAAUUCUUCUCCAAUAAAGAUGUUUAGAUUUCCCUGAUGCCCAAUAACAGUCUGGAGAAAAAUCCCUGGACACAAUGCCAGCUGAAGGGCUUGGGCCAACAUGAUGGAAAAGUCCAGCUCUGCCUGGGCAUGUUUUAUUCUUCCUAACUCUUUUCCCAGACUGUGGGAGCUGCAAGAGUUGGAUGUGAGCUUCAGCAGAGAUGAAAGCUGAGCCUGCACUCAGUGUAAUGAGAGAAGUUGAUGUCCAUGGAUAUUCACCCCUUAAAACAAUCGAUUGGCACAUUUGGCUAUUAGCUAAAAGGAUGGGCUCCACCCAAGGUUGAGAAUUUAGCUUUUCUCCUUCUGACAUUUGCAUUGGCUUUUUUCUACCUCUGUUCCUUGGCCUCUGCGGUUCUCCCUGCUUGAAAUACCCAGCCCUUAUUCCCUCUCUCAGGUUUUCUCCUCCAAGACUCUGCUCAGCAUUUGCUUACCUGUGUGAAGCCCUUCCUGGCCACUCAAGCCUGAUGAUGAUCUUUCUCAGGAGAAAGGGAGUGAUUAUCUUGCCCAGUAUCGUUUCUCCUGUGUCCAAAAUAAUGCUCACUGUACAUAGUUGUUUGGAUGAAUCAAUGAACUAUGUGUCUCCACAUUUAUGCUCCUGGCAGGAACUAGUCUGCAUGUGCCUAUCUGCCCCAUUAGAACUCAGAUCAGGUACUGAUUCUCUUAUCUUGGUUCUCAUAGCCUAGCUCAGAAUCUGGCAUGUAGUGAAGGCUCAGUAAAUAUUUGUGAAAUAAAUACAAACUGAAUGAGAUAGCGCCUGGCUACCAUGUGGUACUUCAUAUUAUAGACAAGCCUGCAGACACUUCAGUGCUUCCCUGUCUUUCCUGCCCCUUUAGUGGACUAGGCAGCAGCUUUCCUUAGCUGCUAUCCUGUCAUAUAUUCUAUGAAAUGUUAUUUGAAGUAAAAGGACAAUAGCCAAGAUUAGAUUCCCAUUGGCCUGAGGUGAGCAUGAAGUCAUUGCUAUUGGUGGGGCCUACUUAAGGAGGCCUCUUCACUAAGAUAAGGAGUUUCUACUUCAGCUCAGGAGGCAGGAAGCAAGAUUAAAUUCAGAACAGCCUAGAAACCAUGCACAGCCUCUCCUUGGUCAGACACCAUCUCAUCA
rnacentral:lncRNA from 1 species